rnacentral:lncRNA from 1 species
CCUGGAAUCCAAUAUGCCAUGGCCAUCAAUGAGCUUGCAUUAGCAAACUUGGUGCACGUAUUUGAUUUUGCAUUGCCUGAUGGAAAAAAAUUCGAGGAUUUGGAUAUGGCUUCUGAGACAGGAAUGACUGUUCAUAAAAAAUCACCUCUGCUGGUAAUUGCAACGCCACGCAUCUAGUCAUCCUUGCAUUCCUUCAUAAGUCCCCAAUGUUACUGUAUGGCAGAUGUCUAAGCUAUGCAAGACAAUGCAACAUUGUAUUACUCAAAUAGACUAUUGAUUGUAAUAUUGUGACGAUGAUUUGUAAUAUUGUAACCAGGUGAUUUGUUGCCUGUUUGUUCGCUAAAAUAGCUUUGUACGUAGAUCAUGUCCUCUCAUAGUGUCAUUCACAUAAAGAUUGCAAAAUAGCACAAUGGCAUCAAGUGCAACAACUUAAAAUUUGUUGCAGUGGCAAAUUCAUUGGGUGGAGAUAUCUUAUAUGCUCGAAAUUUAAGAAGUGAAUAGUUCUCUGAUUUUUGCGAGACCUGAAACAUAUUCGGGAACUACAGAAGCACUUACAUUAUCCAGUUGAGCGCUCUGAAUAUUUCAUGUGCCAGAAACAGCAAUUAUUUAUGUUGUUGCAACAACUUAUUAGCUGCAGUUGUAAUUAGAGUCUUGACACACCGGAAGUGUUUGGUGGAGUUUUAUUAACAUUUGGUAUCUGUAGAAAACACAACCAGUACAUUGUAAUUUGUAACAAAACAUAAGCAAGUCUAAACCCUAAAACAACUCCAUUCGUUGUCUGCUCCAAAUCAUAUUAUUUUUUAAUUAAUAGGUGAACUGAGCAUUGGCAACCUUGGUUUUCCAAUGUUAGAGAAGAAUUAAAGCCUUUUGGUCGAAAAUAGUAAAUUUGAGCUUUUUGUUCACUACACUUCUCACUAAUGCAUUGUCUAGGAUUGCUCUAGGAAUUUGUACUGAAUGCGGCGAAGAAUAUGUUAGAAUAUAAUAUGAUCCUCGCAAGCUCUCUUCCCGAAAAUUUUGAGUUUUAGGAGAAUUGUUCACUAACAUUGGUAUCACAGACGCCCUAGAUUAAAAUUACAAAAACUGUUCUAGAAUAUAGCUCAAUUGAUAGGGUAUCCUAUUUUAGUAACUAUAUUCCAUGGCUAUACUGGUUGAUUACUUGAUUCUCUAAACGGUACAAAGGGAAGGGUUGAGAAAGCAGCUACUGAGAUACCAGAAAUACCAUACCAGCUCUGCCCUGUCUAUCGAUAAUGAUUGAACAUUUAAAUGGUGUUUAGUGAAAAGAUAAUAUUGAAAUGUAUUUACUUAAAAAAAUUUAUGAAUUAUAGGAAUGAAAAUAUAGAAUAAUUAGAAUUAUUUUUUUAAUUUCAAAUUUAUUCGAUAAAAAUUUCUAAUGAAUGAUAAGUCAAAAAAGCAAACAGUAAAAGCCGAGGAACUUUUUUAAAAGUAAAUUUAAAAUAAAAAUUUAUUAUUUUAUUUAAAAUUCCAGAUGUAACAUAUAGUGUACCAGUUUAUUUUAUUUAAAUUUGAUUAUAUUUUCAAAUUUCGUAUUAUAUUAUAUAAAUAUACAAUUAUGCACUAAAAAUAUAUGAAUACAUUAUAUUAUGUGAUUUAUUCAUAUAAUGAUCAAAAUUUAUGAUAUAUUAUUCAAACAAUCUAUACAUAAUAUAACAUAAAGAAAUAUUUAUUUACUUACGAAUUUAUUUAGAAAAAUAUUAUGAUAUUGAUGUAGGUUGGCUGUAUACACUCAACUAGUUGAGAUAUUAAGUCUUACGACUCUUUAUCACAUUAUUUUUUGUACAAAGAUGGGAAAACAACAGGUACGGACAUGUUUGGUCGUUCUUACUUUAUCAGAAUUAUUAUAUUUAUAUAAUAUUUUUAGUAACAAAUUUCGUGAAAUGUUUUAAAAAAAUUAUCUGCAGAAAUAUGUAAGUUAUUUAUAAAAAUAUACAUGUAUCUUUCAGAAACAAAUAUAUUAUUUUUGAAAAUAUGAUAAAUUAAGUCGGUUCAUAUAAUUAAUACUAUUAAAAAAGUGACAUUCUGCAUUUAGUGCUCAUCCAACCAAAAUGUAUCUGUUCAGGGACCAGGAGACCCGACAAAAUCUAUAAUAUUUAUUUGUGAAUUAUAUCGCAAAAUCAAAAUAUUGACCAAAUGAAUGGGAUAAGGCCAUAAGGGUACAUCAAGCCCUUACAGAAUUUAUGACAUUAUCGUGAUGUUAAAUUUGUUUGGGUAAUUUUGACUUAAUGACUUUAAGAUUAUUAAAAAUAUAAAAAUAAAAUUGAUUUAUUUAGGGAUAAUUUUUAUCUGAAAAAGGUAAAAAAAAUUAACUCAAACUAACUUCUGGCUUUAAGUCUUCUAGCUUAUUUCUGACUUUGAGCUAUUUUCUAAAUAUUACAAAUAGACGUUUUUCAGCUUAGAGUUAGAUAGAGCUUUUAAGUCCGGGCAUAAAGCCGGGACAAACAGGCUCUCUACCUCUCUACCUCAGAAUACAGGACAAGAACCAAAGAGGCAAUGAACAUGUAAAACACUAAAACCUCUGCAAGAUCACUAAACCAAAUUGUAGCAACCAUGGUACUAGACCAACAACUAUUGUUCCUGUCCUUGCGCUCUCUAUUCUUUGUCUUAGUUUUUCUGUAUAUAUGGUUUUCAACCAGAACAACCGGCAAAAAUCUGCCUCCUUCUCCUCGAAAAUUACCUAUAAUUGGAAAUCUUCAUCAGGUCAAACAAGACCCGCAUGUAGCACUAAGAUCUUUGUCUCAAAAAUAUGGUCCUGUCAUGCAACUCCACUUCGGAAGUGUGCCUGUUCUUGUUGUGUCCUCAGCUGAUGCAGCUAAGGAGAUCAUGAAGACCCAUGAUCUCACUUUCGCGAACAGGCCUGACUCGACUAUCUGGAGCAGAAUCUUCUAUAAUGGCAAGGACGUGUCCUUUGCUCCUUAUAGUGAAUACUGGAGACAGGUGAAAAGUAUUUGUGUCACUCAGCUGCUGAGUAACAAAAGAGUUCAAUCAUUUCACAACGUUAGAGAACAAGAAGUAGGCCUUUUGGUCCAACAUAUCAAAGAUUCGGGUUCAGAUAUAGUAAAUUUGAGUGAUUUGACCUAUACACUUCAGAGUAAUGUGGUGUCCAGGAUUGCUCUAGGAAAAAAAUAUACUAAUUCUACUGAAGACGGCGAGGAAAAUUCAUUUAGGGAACUGUUUCAGAAUAUAGCUCAGUUGAUUGGUUAUUUCAGUUUUAGUGAUUAUAUUCCAUGGCUGUACUGGAUUGAUUCUUUAAGCGGUCUGAAGGGGAGGGUUGAGAAAGCAGCUAAUGAGAUCGAUGCUUUCCUAGAAGGUGUGAUCAGAGAUCACAGUAGUGCAUUAAGUAGCGGUGCUUCAAGCGAUGACCUUCUGAAAACUUUGCUUGAGAUUCAGAAACAGGAUUCAGAUUCUGCCUUCUCUAUUGAUAAUGAUUCCAUUAAAGGCAUUAUCUUGGUAGGCACAAAAAUUCUAUCGGCUCUUAUUUUCAGAUGAUCUUUUCAUACCGUUUAUUUACUUUUGUUAAGAUAUAUAGGGUCAUGCUUCACCACAAAUUUUUUUUCGUAACAGGUCAUGUAGGAUUUUAUUUAUAGAUUGAAGAUUAAACCAUCGUUAAUUACUUGGACUCCGCCUUAACAACAGCCAUUUAUGAAUGUUACUUUUCACUUAAUUGGUCAUUUGACAUGUUUUAUCUAUCUUGUAGAAUAUGUACUUUAAUGGGACUGAUUCAACAUCAGCAGUAUUGGAGUGGACAAUGGCAGCAUUGAUUAAACACCCGGACAUCAUGUAUAAGUUGAAGAAUGAGGUGAGAGAGAUAGGAAGGGGGAAAUCAAGAAUUGAUGGGGAUGAUCUGGAGCAAAUGCCCUACUUGAGAGCCGUGAUUAAGGAAAGUAUGAGACUUUAUACUCCAGUUCCGCUACUAGUAGCUAGAGAAGCGAUGCAGGAUGUGAAAGUCAUGGGAUACGACAUGAAAGCUGGAACGCAGGUACUGAUCAAUGCUUGGGCAAUUGCAACAGACCCUGCUUUGUGGGAUAACCCAGAGGAAUUUAUCCCUGAGAGAUUCUUGAACAGCCCUCUUGAUUAUAAAGGUCUGCAUUUCGAGUUCAUUCCAUUCGGAGCAGGAAGAAGAGGCUGCCCUGGAAUCCAAUAUGCCAUGGCCAUCAAUGAGCUUGCAUUAGCAAACUUGGUGUACGUCUUUGAUUUUGCAUUGCCUUAUGGAACAAAAUUUGAGGAAUUGGAUAUGGCUUCUGAGACAGGAAUGACUGUUCAUAAAAAAUCACCUCUACUGGUAAUUGCAACUCCACGCAUCUAGUCAUCUUUCCAUUCCUUAAUAAGUCCCAAAUGUUACUGUAUGGUAAUGUCUAAGUUAUGCAAGACAAUGCAACAUUGUAUUAUUCAAAUAGACUAUUGAUUGUAAUAUUGUGACGAUGAUUUGUAAUAUUGUAACCAGGUGAUUUGUUGCCUGUUUGUUGCCUGUUUGUUCCUGUUUGUUCGCUAAAAUAGCUUUGUAUAUAGAUCCUGUCCUCUCAUAGUAUCAUUCACAUAAAGAUAGCAAAAUAGCACAAUGGCAUCAAGUGCAACAACUUAAAGUUUGUUGCAGUGGCAAAAUCAUUGCGUGGAGAUAACUAUAUGCUCGAAAUUUAAGAAGUGAAUAGUUCUCUGAUUUUGUGAGACCUAAAACAUAUUUGGAAACUACAGCUAGCUACUGUUUCUUGUCUUAUGGUGGGGAAUUCAGACAAAGUGCUGAAUAUUUCAUGUGACACAAACAGCAAUUUUUCAUGUUGUUGCAACAACUUAUUAGCUGCCGUUGUCAUUAGAGUCCUGACACACCGGAAGUGUUUGGUGGAGUUUUAUUAACAUUUGGUAUCUGUAGAAAACUCGACCAGUACAUUGUAACAAAAUACAUAAGCAAGUCUAACCCCUAAAACAACUCCAUUCGUUGUUUGUUCCAAAUCAUAUUAUUUUUUAAUUAAUUGGUGAAGUAAACGAGUGAGCAUUGGUAACCUUGAUUUCCCAACGUUAGAGAAGAAGUAAGCCUUUUGGUCGAAAAUAUCAGAAGUUGGGGAUCAAAAAUAGUGACUUUGAGCGUUUUGUUCUAUACACUUCUCAAUAAUGCAAUGUCUAGGAUUGCUCUAGGAAUUUUACUUAACGCGGUGAAGAAUGUGUUAGAACAUAAUAUGAUCCUCGCAGAUCCAUUUCCUAACACUUUUGAGAUUUUAGGAGAAUUGGUCAGUAACAUGGUAUCAGAGCUAAGACGUGCGAGAUCACAAGAACUGUUCUAGAAUAUAGCUCAAUUGAUAGGGUAUCCAGUUUUAGUAACUAUAAUCCAUGGCUAUACUGGUUGAUUACUUGAUUCUCUAUCGAUAAUGAUUGAACAUUUAUAUGGUGUUUAGUUAUAUUUAUUUUCUUUUCUUUUGCAGUUUUUGCUAAUUUGUAUAUGAUCUUUACUCGCUAGAAUUUUCCUUUAAUGCAUAGUUUUGCUUCUGACUUUUAAGUGUGUCCCUCAUCAAGCAACUGUCGGCAGUUGCCAUAAAAAAGUCGUCUGAAGCUCUGCAACACCUCUAUUUUGAGCGGAUACACUUUAAUCUUCUUCUGCAAAUGUCGUGCAAUAAUUACUGUAUAAAUAGCAGUGGCCAAUAAUCAUGAUGCAGGUCGGUAACAGCUCCUUACCAAACUUCAUUCUGUUUUCUUGCCAAUGUAUACAAACGAUGGUAUAAUGGUACUUAUAAGCCACCAGUAGGAGAUGGCAUGGCUGAUUAUGUUUAUUUAUAAGAACAUCUGCGACCAUCCCGGUAAAAUGAUAGUCUUACAACUAUCGUGGUUAAAAUGAUCGUCUAAAAUGAUUAUUACUAUAAGCCAAAAAUACGUUAUUAAUGUAAGACUGAAAUGGAACGUGGUGACGCCGUAUUAGCUUCGUUUUCAUUUUAGUGCCCAGAAUUUCAAAUUUAUAAAUGAAUGGCUUAAGGACCACUUUUCUGAAUAUAAGACUAAUAUUUUUUUUCCCUCAAAAAAGUGCCCCUCGGCCUUCUUUUUGAUAAAUUAGAUGAAUAUAUGAUCGUCAUACCGCAAAUUUGAUAUUCCAGCCAUUAAAUGAUAAAGUACGGCUACCAAUUUAUACUUACAGUGAUAUUAUUUGCCUAAUCCCUGAACAUCUUGUUGACGAACUUUUCGCAUGGCACACCCCGCAUGCAUCCUACUUGUGUAUAUAUGUCACUUGGGAAAGUACAGAUUACUAAACCAAAUUGUUGAAGUCACAAUGGACCAACAAUCUUUACUUCUCUCUUCAUGUUCUUUCUUCUUUGUCUUAGUUUUCCUCUAUACCAGGUUCUCAACCAGCAAAACACCUCUAAAAAACCCGCCACCUUCUCCUCCAAAGCUACCUAUAAUUGGAAACCUUCAUCAGAUCAACCAAGACCCGCACCUAGCACUGAGAUCUCUGGCUCAAAAAUAUGGUCCUGUCAUGCAACUCCACUUCGGAAGUGUUCCUGUUCUUGUUGUGUCCUCAGCUGAUGCAGCUAAGGAGAUCAUGAAGACCCAUGAUCUUGCUUUCGCGAACAGGCCUGACUCGACUAUCUGGAGCAGAAUCUUCUAUAAUGGCAAGGACGUGUCCUUUGCUCCGUAUAGUGAAUACUGGAGACAGGUGAAAAUGAUUUGUGUCACUCAGCUGCUGAGUAACAAAAGAGUGCGUUCAUUUCACAAUGUUAGGGAACAAGAAGUGGCCCUUUUAGUCCAAAAUAUUAAAGAUUCGAGAUCAAAAAUAAUUAAUUUGAGUGAGUUGUUUUCGACACAUCUAGGCAAUGUGGUGUCUAGGGUGGUCUUGGGAAGAAAAUAUGCUAUGACUACUAAAGAUGGUGUAGAAAAUUCAUUUCGGGAACUGUUUCAGAAUAUUGCUCAGUUGAUAGGCUAUUUCAGCUUUGGUGAUUAUAUUCCAUGGCUAUUCUGGGUCGAUUCUCUAACCGGGUUGAAGGGAAGGAUUGAGAAGGCAUUCUUCGAGGCUGAUGCGUUUCUUGAAGGUGUUGUCAGAGAUCACAGUGUUGCAUUGGAUAACGGGGCUUCAAGUGAUGACCUAUUGUACAAUUUGCUAGAGAUUCAGAAACAGGACAGCAAUCCUGAUUUUUCUAUCGAUAACGAGUCCAUUAAAGGACUAAUCUUGGUAACUACACAAAAUCUCUGUAACUUUAGCUUAUCUCAUGAUCAUUUCUAUAUUUCAUAGAGCGUGUUUUUUUAAUAACUUAUAAGUCAUCUGUAAUAUAAAAUUACGCAGACAGACAAUUUAAACUGAUCAAUUAUCACUUUAAGUCACUGUAAGUCAUAAGUUAUAAUUUUUAGACUGCCGGGCUCAUAGUUCUUGUCAUCAGUUGAUAAUUCGUUUGACAUUUUAUAUAUGCCUUGCAGAAUAUGUUCUUUGAUGGAACUGAUUCGACGUCUAUAGUAUUAGAGUGGACUAUGGCAGCACUCUUACAAAAUCCAAACGUCAUGUGUAAAUUGCAAAAUGAAGUGAGGGAGAUAGGAAGGGGAAAAGCAACAAUAUCUGAGGAUGAUUUGGAGAAAAUGCACUACUUGAAAGCAGUGAUCAAGGAGAGUACACGGAUUUAUACUCCACUUCCGCUACUAGUUGCUAGACAAGCAAUGCAAGAUGCAAAGGUUAUGGGAUACGACAUUAAAGUCGGGACACAAGUACUGAUUAAUGCUUGGGCAAUCGCAAAAGACCCUGCUGUGUGGGAUAAGCCAGAGGAAUUCAUCCCUGAGAGAUUCUUGAACAGUCCUACUGAUUUUAAAGGCCUACAUUUUGAGUUAAUUCCGUUUGGAGCAGGGCGGAGGGGCUGCCCUGGAAUUCAAUAUGCCAUGGCCAUCAAUGAGCUCACAUUAGCAAACUUGGUGCACAUAUUUGAUUUUGCAUUGCCUGAUGGAAAGAGACUGGAAGAUCUGGACAUGGCUGCUGAGUCUGGCAUGACUCUCCAUAAAAAAUCUCCUCUGUUGGUGAUUGCAACACCGCGUGUCUAAUUAGCACUAUUCUUCGUAAAACAAGUCACGUUCAUCUCAUUGUUGGACGUCAAAAUAAAGUGAGGGAGAAGCUUUUUAUCUGUGCCCUUUUUCGUGCUUUAGCUAGAAGGGACAUCAAUGUGAUGCUUGGUGUUUAUUAAUCAAGUUUUGUUUUCGAUCAUAGUUUGUUUUGAUGCUUCAUGCUUAUUGUUUUUUGGCUUGCUUCGGGGGUAUGCCCCCAGAAUAUGUGGCCUGUUUUAAUUCAAUAAAAGAUGCAUGCCAAACAAUAUGCUUGUAUUGUUUCUUUUCUAGCAAUCAAUCUAGUUUCGACACACGCAUCCAACCUUCUUGCAUCUUUCCACCAGAUUAAUCAAGACCCGCACAUAUCACUUAAAUCUUUGGCUAAAAAUAAAGGGUCCUGUCAUGCAAACUGCACCUGGGAGUGUUCCUGUUCUUGCUGUGUCUUCAGCUAAUGCAGCUAUGAGCUAUGCAGAUUAUGAAAUAAUGAAAACGCAGAAUCUUGCUUUCGCAAGCAGGCCUGUCUCAAUAGAGCAAUGCUACAUGCACAAAAUUAGGUACAAAAUUUUCCACAAAAUGAUAUGACACUUAAUAUGGGAUGUUUUAAUUGGUGCUAUUUACGCGAAUACAAGAGCCCAUUAAUCAAAACUCAUGUCAUUUUGUGAAAGAUUUUGUAUCCAAUUUUGUGGAUGAAGUAUUUUCUGUCUCCAUAUUUUGGAGUUAAAUCCUCUAUAACGGUAGGAAGUGGCCUUUGCUCCUUAUACUGAAUAUUGGAUGCAGAUGAAAAGUAUUUGUGUUUUCCAGCUCCUGAAAACAAAAGAGCUCGUUCAUUUCCCAACGUUAGAAANUUUAUCACAUUAUUUUUUGUACAAAGAUGGGAAAACAACAGGUACGGACAUGUUUGGUCGUUCUUACUUUAUCAGAAUUAUUAUAUUUAUAUAAUAUUUUUAGUAACAAAUUUCGUGAAAUGUUUUAAAAAAAUUAUCUGCAGAAAUAUGUAAGUUAUUUAUAAAAAUAUACAUGUAUCUUUCAGAAACAAAUAUAUUAUUUUUGAAAAUAUGAUAAAUUAAGUCGGUUCAUAUAAUUAAUACUAUUAAAAAAGUGACAUUCUGCAUUUAGUGCUCAUCCAACCAAAAUGUAUCUGUUCAGGGACCAGGAGACCCGACAAAAUCUAUAAUAUUUAUUUGUGAAUUAUAUCGCAAAAUCAAAAUAUUGACCAAAUGAAUGGGAUAAGGCCAUAAGGGUACAUCAAGCCCUUACAGAAUUUAUGACAUUAUCGUGAUGUUAAAUUUGUUUGGGUAAUUUUGACUUAAUGACUUUAAGAUUAUUAAAAAUAUAAAAAUAAAAUUGAUUUAUUUAGGGAUAAUUUUUAUCUGAAAAAGGUAAAAAAAAUUAACUCAAACUAACUUCUGGCUUUAAGUCUUCUAGCUUAUUUCUGACUUUGAGCUAUUUUCUAAAUAUUACAAAUAGACGUUUUUCAGCUUAGAGUUAGAUAGAGCUUUUAAGUCCGGGCAUAAAGCCGGGACAAACAGGCUCUCUACCUCUCUACCUCAGAAUACAGGACAAGAACCAAAGAGGCAAUGAACAUGUAAAACACUAAAACCUCUGCAAGAUCACUAAACCAAAUUGUAGCAACCAUGGUACUAGACCAACAACUAUUGUUCCUGUCCUUGCGCUCUCUAUUCUUUGUCUUAGUUUUUCUGUAUAUAUGGUUUUCAACCAGAACAACCGGCAAAAAUCUGCCUCCUUCUCCUCGAAAAUUACCUAUAAUUGGAAAUCUUCAUCAGGUCAAACAAGACCCGCAUGUAGCACUAAGAUCUUUGUCUCAAAAAUAUGGUCCUGUCAUGCAACUCCACUUCGGAAGUGUGCCUGUUCUUGUUGUGUCCUCAGCUGAUGCAGCUAAGGAGAUCAUGAAGACCCAUGAUCUCACUUUCGCGAACAGGCCUGACUCGACUAUCUGGAGCAGAAUCUUCUAUAAUGGCAAGGACGUGUCCUUUGCUCCUUAUAGUGAAUACUGGAGACAGGUGAAAAGUAUUUGUGUCACUCAGCUGCUGAGUAACAAAAGAGUUCAAUCAUUUCACAACGUUAGAGAACAAGAAGUAGGCCUUUUGGUCCAACAUAUCAAAGAUUCGGGUUCAGAUAUAGUAAAUUUGAGUGAUUUGACCUAUACACUUCAGAGUAAUGUGGUGUCCAGGAUUGCUCUAGGAAAAAAAUAUACUAAUUCUACUGAAGACGGCGAGGAAAAUUCAUUUAGGGAACUGUUUCAGAAUAUAGCUCAGUUGAUUGGUUAUUUCAGUUUUAGUGAUUAUAUUCCAUGGCUGUACUGGAUUGAUUCUUUAAGCGGUCUGAAGGGGAGGGUUGAGAAAGCAGCUAAUGAGAUCGAUGCUUUCCUAGAAGGUGUGAUCAGAGAUCACAGUAGUGCAUUAAGUAGCGGUGCUUCAAGCGAUGACCUUCUGAAAACUUUGCUUGAGAUUCAGAAACAGGAUUCAGAUUCUGCCUUCUCUAUUGAUAAUGAUUCCAUUAAAGGCAUUAUCUUGGUAGGCACAAAAAUUCUAUCGGCUCUUAUUUUCAGAUGAUCUUUUCAUACCGUUUAUUUACUUUUGUUAAGAUAUAUAGGGUCAUGCUUCACCACAAAUUUUUUUUCGUAACAGGUCAUGUAGGAUUUUAUUUAUAGAUUGAAGAUUAAACCAUCGUUAAUUACUUGGACUCCGCCUUAACAACAGCCAUUUAUGAAUGUUACUUUUCACUUAAUUGGUCAUUUGACAUGUUUUAUCUAUCUUGUAGAAUAUGUACUUUAAUGGGACUGAUUCAACAUCAGCAGUAUUGGAGUGGACAAUGGCAGCAUUGAUUAAACACCCGGACAUCAUGUAUAAGUUGAAGAAUGAGGUGAGAGAGAUAGGAAGGGGGAAAUCAAGAAUUGAUGGGGAUGAUCUGGAGCAAAUGCCCUACUUGAGAGCCGUGAUUAAGGAAAGUAUGAGACUUUAUACUCCAGUUCCGCUACUAGUAGCUAGAGAAGCGAUGCAGGAUGUGAAAGUCAUGGGAUACGACAUGAAAGCUGGAACGCAGGUACUGAUCAAUGCUUGGGCAAUUGCAACAGACCCUGCUUUGUGGGAUAACCCAGAGGAAUUUAUCCCUGAGAGAUUCUUGAACAGCCCUCUUGAUUAUAAAGGUCUGCAUUUCGAGUUCAUUCCAUUCGGAGCAGGAAGAAGAGGCUGCCCUGGAAUCCAAUAUGCCAUGGCCAUCAAUGAGCUUGCAUUAGCAAACUUGGUGCACGUAUUUGAUUUUGCAUUGCCUGAUGGAAAAAAAUUUGAGGAUUUGGAUAUGGCUUCUGAGACAGGAAUGACUGUUCAUAAAAAAUCACCUCUACUGGUAAUUGCAACUCCACGCAUCUAGUCAUCUUUCCAUUCCUUAAUAAGUCCCAAAUGUUACUGUAUGGUAAUGUCUAAGUUAUGCAAGACAAUGCAACAUUGUAUUAUUCAAA